CUGCUCUCUCCUGUCUUCCAGAGGAAAGGUGGCAGUAAUGCUAACGCUGGCAAGCAAGCUGAAGCGGGAUGACGGCCUCAAAGGAUCCCGGACAUCAGCCUCCACAUCUGACUCCACUCGGAGGGUUUCUGUGAGAGACAAGUUGCUUGUUAAAGAAGUUGCAGAACUUGAAGCUAAUUUACCCUGUACAUGUAAAGUACAUUUUCCUGAUCCAAACAAGCUUCAUUGCUUUCAGCUGACUGUAAGCCCAGAUGAGGGUUACUACCAGGGUGGAAAAUUUCAGUUUGAAACUGAAGUUCCUGAUGCCUACAACAUGGUGCCUCCCAGGGUGAAAUGCUUGACUAAAAUCUGGCACCCCAACAUCACGGAAACAGGGGAAAUAUGUCUAAGUUUACUAAGAGAACAUUCAAUUGAUGGCACUGGCUGGGCUCCCACUAGGACAUUGAAGGAUGUUGUUUGGGGAUUAAACUCAUUAUUUACUGAUCUUUUGAAUUUUGAUGAUCCACUGAAUAUUGAAGCUGCUGAACAUCAUUUACGAGACAAGGAGGAUUUCCGUGACAAAGUGGAUGAAUACAUCAAACGCUAUGCCAGAUGAUAAGAGGAGAGAUUGCAGGUCUGAGGACUGUCACAGUUGUCUCUGAUGUGAAGCAGCUCGAGGUAGCCCUCCUCCCCAUCCUCAUACUCCCUGUCAGCCCCUUGGGAUUGUCCUAGUCUUGCGACCAUGUUGUCCUGAAGAAGACCAUCCUCCUGACUACACAAUACAGCAAGAAAAUGUGUCUGGGCCUCGAGAGCGUUGUCUGCUUCCCUUAACAUGUUUACUGAAACUCUGCUGUCUAGGCUGUGGGAUUCCUCCGAAGUUGUAAUGAACUCACCAUUGAGGAUAGCGCUUGCUUCCCUUCCCCCCAACAAAAUCGGUGUCCUGCACAAGUGAUGUAAUGACAUGUUCGGUGUGACUGGCAGAUUGGCAAUAAGAAACCCGCUAUAAACUGUGAUUGGAUGCACAUUCUCUUAGCUUCUUCCACGAAUGUUGGCCCUGCCUAGAUGUGAAGCUUCCCAGAAUGCAUAGUCAUUCACUGUAGAUCUUACUGAAAUGCGUAUUUUAUUUAAUUUUGUAUUUUCAUUGUACAGAGCAGACACAAAGAUAUUGGGUCAAGCAACUCUUGAAGAGAAAUACAAAGAGACCAUGAAAGGCACAUUACUCAGUUUCUCCAGAUGCAGCAGGAAUCUGGCUCCUAGUCAUCAGCUCUUCCUUCAGGCCCACAUGUGACAAGGAUGUUUUGGAGACUUAAAACCUAGACCUGGAAGACCAAAACCAAAGGCAGGGAGGCUUCCCUCACAGGCUACCCAGACACAGCAGGCUGGGCUUCCUAAGCAAGGGCAGUGGCUGACUCUGCAGUUGUCAUAGCAUGAGCCAGGGCUUCCUUAACAGAGCUCUGUCUUUGCUGUCCAGCAAAAGGAAGUGCCCGGGGAAUCAGCUCAGUCUCAGUGCUGCCAAGACUGCACUGUGACUGUCCUCCGACUUGCCUGUGGUUCCAAGCUCUAGAAGGGGAGUCUCAUAGGCCUUGGCAGAUUAGGCGGCAGGAGCAGCAGCAGGGUAGAGCACUUCAGGUUCCGCCCUGUAGAGAGACUGGUGGAUUUAUUCAGCUUUAGGAGUUUAAACCAGUGAGAUCUAAUGCAAAAUAAAUGCAUGUCUGGUUUCAUUGCCUGUCUAGCAUUCACACUGUCAGUUUCCUGCCUGUCAUCCUCUGGGUUUGGUGUGCUUUGCAAGGUUAGUCUUCCUUCCCACUUGGCAUCAUGAAUUGUGCCAGUUAGCCACAAGGGGUGGCCUCAUCUGGCAGGUCACAUACCUAGAUGAACAGAACAGGCAUGAUGGGGCCCAACAGACUGAAUGGUAGUACCCCAGUAUCCAGGAGCCCCAGCAUCCUCCUCUCAAAGCCUGGGAGAAUGGUGUCACUGGGUACUCAGCAGCCAGGCACUAGAGCCAUCAUGUAUUUGUUGGCACUCUUGUUGCCCAGAUAACAAGGUGCCUAGCAUCAAAGAUAGGACUUCCUCACAGGGAUGCUUCCAGUGGAAGAAAUGACAACUAGUCCCUGUCAUUCUGAUAGGCAUAUGUGUGCCCAGUGUGGGAGACCAGCCUGCCUCGGGCUGCACUGAGAAUGGUGCUAACUCAGGGCAUUAUACAGUAGCAUUUUAUUAGAGGUCAGGUAAUUUGUGACAUGAUGUUUCCAGGUGGCCAAUACUGUAUUGUUCUGUUAAGUAGAAGUCCCUUAGAAAUAGUUCUCUCCCCAACUCACAGAACCCUUCGCUUCACCUCUCAUAGUGAGUAGUAGCUUGUGCCUGACCUCCAGACUGCUAGCCUCUUGAUCUCCCCACCCUGGCCAAAACAGGAUUCUAACAGUCUUUGGGACCCCAACAAGCUGGUAAUUUUAGUUCUGCCAAGGCAAUGUGAUCCCCAAGCUUGUGAUGAGGCAGGGCCAGACCUCUGGAAAACUGGUAGGAGUGGUCUAGCCUGGGGAAGGAAGGGAAACUCUUGGGCAACUUGAAUACACUGUGGCUAUCAAACCUCUGCCUCCUGGGUCUUGUCUCUGCUCUGGACACAGCUGCUCAGACUUUAAUGUAAGUUGUGUGUUCUCAAGAGCUCAGAGAAGGAAGCACUUGUGGGUGGGUCACAUCUCUGAUUGUUCCUUAGACACCUCACCCCAGCAAGUCCUUCAUUUUGCAAUAUUUCUAAGGAGCUGAGGCAGGGGUACCUAAGCAAAGUCUAGGUCUUGGCUGUAAACUGCUGUGCCUCUUUUCCUCCCAGUCCUGCUCAUUUGUUUGCUCUGCUUUCUAUUAAUUUUGUGUGGUGCAAACUGGCCUUCUGCCUCGCUCUCCUAAGUUCUAGGAUGAUGUGCCACAACACCCAGCUCAUCUUGGUUUUUACCCACCGUUUCCCAAGGAGUGGUCUUUGGUUGUGGGUGACCUCCCUUUCUGUCAUGUGCAAGCACUGAGAAUCUUACGGACACUCUAAUUCCUGCUGAACAGUCAGCACUUGCAAGAGCAGUCAGUACUGUACAGUCAGUACAGUACUCUGUGGAACUUCUGCCCAGGAAGCACCACUCUUUUACCCUGGCUCCACUCACUUGUGUGGAUGAAAGCUCUGAGCAACCCAAAGCCACUCAUUGCAUUUCCUCCCCUGUGAAAUCUGAAGGGUCGUGUUCUGGUUAACCUUUAGUUGAAUCUCUAAACCUUAAAAAUCACCAAGAUUCCUGUGGAAUAGACAACAGGAUGUUUGUUGUUUAUUUGUUUAGAUAUAUUUUAUUUAUUCAUUUUAAGUAUUUUGAGUGUUCUGUCUGCAUGGACUCCUGCUUGCCAAAAGGAAUCAGGUCCCAAUAUAGAUAAUCAUGAGCCACCAUGAGUUUUCUGGGAAUUGAAUUAAGGAACUCUGGAAGAGCAGCCACCAGUGCUGUUAACCACUGAGCCAUCUUGCCAGCAGGACUUUUUAUUGUAAAAAUACCAUUUAAUAGGCUGGCAAGACAGUUCAGUGGCAGAGGUACUUGUGGACAAGCCUGGAGACCUGAGUUUGAUCCUGGGAACCCAUGGAAAAGUGGAGAGAGAGCUGACGCCACAUGUGUUAUGGCACAUGCUCACACACAUUGAUAAAAAAGUAAAUUUUAAAACAUUAGAAGGCUGGAAGCCAGCAGCUGCAGUCUCCAGUAGGCACUUCCUCGUUGUCUGUCACAGGGUAAUUUUCACCUUCACCUACUUAGAAAUAUCCCAUCUAAGAGAUCCAGAUUACUACAGUUCCACUAUUCUAAAUGUGCUUAGUGUGGUAACAUUGCUAGGAAGAAUUUGAAAAUCGCCUGUAACUAUGGGAACUUAGGGUCCAUGUUGGGCAGAGCUGUGGUGAACAGCCUUUUUCUCCCAUUCCAGAAACUUUCCUUACACUAGUAUCUAAAAAGAUAGGGCCAUGUCCUGGGAGGACUGGUGAAGAGUUCUAGAAUGGACUGGGGACAUAGGCAAGGUCCAGUGAUUCCAUGAAUCCUGUUGCCCUCAAUGUGGGCAUGCCAGACUGGUAAUAGAGUUGUGUUGGUAGACUAAAAGAACAAGCAUGAUGUCCAUGCCAUGGGAAAGCAUUGGGUACAGGAGCAGUCUUCCCACAUUCUUUACAUCUCCUGUAGGAAAGGUUCUAAAACACCCUUGACUAUCCCACAGCUUCUCCUGUCCUUCAAAAAUAAGUCCUCCUAUACCUGGCAUACAGAGUUUGUUGUGACUGGGCCCCUGUCCACUGUGCCAGUCUUAUAGGAAACAGCCAUUGAGAUCCCUGGCCUCAAAAUAGUUACCAUCAUGUCCUGAGAUGAUACCUAGUCUUUUCAGUCAAGUCUCAGCUUUCCUCUUGGUGCUCUGCCCAGAUCCAGUUCACAUAAUUCUUUUUUUGGUUGGGUUUUUUUGUUUUGUUUUUCAAGACAGGGUUUCUCUGUGUAGCUUUGGAGCCUAUCCUGGCACUUGCUCUGGAGACCAGGCUGGCCUCCAACUCAAAGAGAUCCACCAGCCUCUGCCUCCCAAGUGCUGGGAUUAAAGGUGUGUACCGCCCGGCAUCAGUUCACAUAUGCUUAAGUGCUCUGACUGCUGUUACAUGAAGAUGGGCACUUGUGAGGGGCCCCAUCUUUUCCAGCCAUCAGGAAACACAGGGUGGGAAUGUCACUUGACCUUAAGUGUUCCUGUCCCUCUUGGAGCUAAUGAACACCUGGAGCCUCAUCUUGGCCAUUUGCAAUAACCUGGGCAAGUUAUAUAGUGUAUAGCUCUUCUCUGUUGAGCAAAGUAGAGAAUAUGGAGUGUGUACCAGGCAUUGUCCAGAAGCUGAGUCCCCUGACCAUCCAGGCAGUGACUGAGAGGAUAUGCCACCAACCAGGGAGUUAGUCUGGUCUGUGUAGUUUGCUUUGCCUGAGUGAGGUACCUAGGAAGAGAACAACAAAAUCUUACCUGGACACCUAGAGUUAUCUAUCAGUGUGAAUAGAAGUGAAGUGUAGGACUGAAAAAAUUUAAGGCCCCCCAUUCCCCGUAAAUAACAUGUUGACUAGACCAAAAAUGUCAGGGGAAAAAAUAGGCUAAAGUGAAAGGCAAUGGAGGAAGCAAGCCAAAAUGACAAUCCAUAUGGUAAGGGUGGGAUCAGUGACAUGGAGAUCAGUCAGGCCCUCCAGAUGAAUGUUGCAGCCAAGACUAGGUUCCUGCUCAGUAGCUGGAGAAACAGACGGGAUGGACCACUUGGCCUAGCCAAGCAGACAUCUGGCCAUGACACACAGUUUGCCAGACAGUGUGAUGGUGCCCUUAAGUGAGACCCAACAGGUUCUGGCUUAUGACAGCCAUAGCUUCUCUGCUUGCAAGGGAACUGAGUCUUAGGUUGUGGCACUCAGCAGAGCCCACACUAGACAGACUGCACAGGGUUCAAGCCCAGCCCACCCAGAGGGUCAUUUGGCCUUAGCUAUUCCUGCCAUAUCUGUCCUUGGGGAUCACUAAAGCUGGGAAAGAACUAGCCAGGAAGAGCAGAGAAUAUGCCACAGGAGUUCACACAGGCCCAGUAAAAGGCCAUGUUUCCAUGAAUUGGUAGAAUAGAAAAUCCUAGCAAUUGAGCACACUGGGCAGAGGUUAGUGGCUACUACUUGCUCAGCAAUAGGAAAAUGAAUCUAAGGGCUAUGCUGGCCCUGCCCAAAAUUGUUAGCAAGAUGGCUGAGUAAGUGAAAGUACAUGCCAAGCCAGAUGACCCCUUGGGACUCUGGAUGGGAGGAGGGAAUCAGCUGUCUGUCAAGUGUGCAGUGGUGCACAUGCAGGUAACACCCAGAAUAAACCUUUUAAAUAAUGGUAGCAAUAAAAGAUACAUACCAGGCCACCACAAACCACCAGGCCUGCUGACAUCCCUAGGCUGGCUUCAAAGCUACCCUGGAAAACGAAUUUACUACUAUCUUAAACAGCAAUCUCAAACUCAGGGAUGGAAAAGAGCCCUCCAGAGUGACUCCCUGCCAGUCAUAGCUCUUGCUUUCCAUCAUGAAGAUCUGUGGUUGCUCUCCCAGGAGAGACAGACCAGGCAGCCAGCCAGAGGCUGGCCAUAGCACUACUAUAGCACCUAUGUGCUGACCUGAAACCCAGGCCUCAGAACCCACAGUCUCCUAAUACAACAUAUGUCCAAGACACUUAAAAGCCAUCUGUCAUAGUUAAUGUUUUUAUUGCUGUGAAGAGAUACCAUGACCAUGGCAACUCAUGAAAAAAACCAUUUAAUUGGGGUGGCUUGCUUAUACUUUCAGACGUUCAGUUCAGUAUCAAGACAGGGAGCAUUGUGUCAUACAGACAUGUAGUGCUAGAGUAGCUCAGAGUCCAAUAUCUUGCAGGCAACAGGAAGUCGACUGACCCCAGUAUUCUAAGCAUGGAAACCUCGAAGCCUGUCCCCACAGUGACACUUCCUACAACAAGGCCAUACCCACUCCAACAAAGUCCCACCUUCUAAUAAUGCCACUUCCUGUGAGAUUAUGGGGGCCAAUUACAUCUUUACUACCACAUUCCACUCUCUGGCCCCCAUGAGAUUGUAACAAUACAAUGUAAAGCCUGAGAAAAUGGGCACUGCCUAUAGGGGAUGCCAACUUGAAUGAAAGCUGGUCUCUUUGGAAACCAUUACAGGCCCAAGGAAGAUACAUGAUAUUAAAUGCUGAAAGGUGCAUUCAGAAAGUCUAUUCAGAAAACCUUGUUUCUGGAAAGAAAGUGAAAAGCAGCUUGAUUCUUCAGAUGCUGUAAAACAAAGAAUUACUAACCUCUUUGUUAAGGUUGACUAAAACCUUCAAUACAAGUGCAGUGGGGACAGCACUUGGAGACAGCACUAAGGAGACAGAGGCAAGAGCAUUUCUGAAAGUCCAAGGCCAGCCAGGAAUACAUAAUGAGACUCAAAAUUUCCUCAAAAAACAGAAUGAUGGAGGCUUUAGAAGUCAUUGAUGAUGGUUAAGUAGAGAUCACCCAUCUGAUGUUCAAGCAUAGUGGUGCUGAAAGUCAGCGUGUGAGGAAGCAGGAGUUGUUAGAGAAGACAGAAAAUGUAAAUACUGUAAUACUGUAAAAACUUGAAAAGACUCAAAUAUUCUCAAAUUUUAAUUUAAAAAGGGAGGAGGGGGUUGGGAAUGGAGCACUUAGCAUGUGUAAUGAACACCCUGGGAUUUAUCUCUCGUACUCCCACCCCCUCAUUCAAGAAGACUCCCUUACUUCAUCAAAAGUGGUAAAAUUGUUGCUAGGGAACUGCAGAGAGAUGGCUCAGCAGCUAAGAACAUGAACUGCUCUUCCAGAAGACCCAAGUUCAAUUCCUAAUGGGUGACUCACAAGUACCUGCAACUCCAGCUUCAGGAAUGCAAAGCCCUUCUCUGGAAUCCGCGGACAAUUGUACUCAUGUAUCUAUACCUAUGCACAUAGACACAUACUUAAAAAUAAAUUUUUAAUGUUGCCACUA